CAUGGUAUGCUUUGUCUCCUAUGAGAACCAGCCGCAGAACUAGCUGAGGCAUCUACUAGGGUGAUGAUUUAACUGUCAGUAGUUGGAGAGUUGGAACACUGCAGACAGAUUGUGGAAGGGAAGAAGAAGUGACAUCAAGAUUAGGGCAGGAAAAUCUGAAGUCCAGGGACAAUUUGGAUGAGGGCAUGGAGGAGAGCAAAGAAGAAAGUACCUUCCUCAUGCAGUGGAUCAAAAAUACGUAUGGGCUUUUCAUUUGUCAGAAUUUUCAUACCUUCAGAAGGUAUGCAGGAACCAGUAAAGGAUUGUUAGAGGGAGCCCAAAUAACAAAGAAGGAAUGUUAUUGGAUAGACAAUGUAAAUUCUUUUUUCUCCUAAAGGAUCAAAAUAUUACCUGGGCACUCAUCUAAGGAACAGAUUGAUAACCAGGUUCAGAAAAAGACCACAGACCUCCUUACAUCUUUCUGCACUGCUAGAGCAAAUGUAACUUGGAGUAAUUUGUCAAUAUCAUGAGUGAAUUUUUCCCGCAGAGGAUACGAUGUGGCCGAUUCCAAUUUUGAAAUGCAAGGGAUCUCCCAUAAAGCCACAUAAUAACUGCAACUAGGAAAAAGGUAGCAGUAGACCAGUAUAAUUCUCUGUAGACAUCUAAUGUUUGGAGGAGGUGACAGCGUAGUAGAGUGGAAAAGUACAGCCUUUUUGGAAUCUUAAAGUUAUAGUUUCUUUAUCUGGUUAGUGCCUUCACUAUUUUUUAUUUUCUUUGAUAUUAAGGACACUUAAAUUCUCAGAAUCUGUUUUUAUUUCCCAUAAAAUCUAGAGAAAAGUGUCAACUUGAUAGUGUGUUUUGAGUGGCACAUAACAUGCUGUGUGUAAAAUUUCUGUGCAGAGAUUGACUCCAUAAUUACGAAUCUUUUCUGAUCGGCUUUGAAAUUGUUUCAACAAUUUCAGAUUUUUGAAACAUUUCUGAUACAUGUUAUGUUCUGACUUAUAGUAACGAUUAGCAAAGCUCAUGAAGAAAAGUGAAGUAGUCUAUAAUUUAUGUUGCUUGUGGCACAGACCCAGCUGUUCUAACUCAAGGGGUUCUAUGCACUGCCCAGGGCAGAUGGGUGAUUAAAUCAGGGACUGAGCAUCCUCUAGGAUAUGCCCUUGGCUUUGGCCACACCAGUGGAUGAAGAUAGCAUUUCACCAUCAUGCCAUGACCCAGCCUGUGGACAAGAAGAAAGCGAUCUGGAAGAUGCAGACCUCUCUUCUGUUCUCGUUCCAUGAUCCGGGACUGAGUCACAAGACUGAAACAAUAACAGUAAUGUGGACCAGCUGGGGAGACAGGAACUCAGGAGAAAACCUGACCUAUGAAAAGAUGACAUUGUACAAGCUAUGAUGAAGGGAUGAACAAGCUGCAGUGGGAACAUGGAUGAAGGAGCAACUAAGUCCGCAUUUUGAAGUAAGGAAUAUCUUUUCUCAGCCCUCAUCUUUACUGAUUUCUAUUAGAAUUUCACAAUGACAAGAUAAAAAUAUACUUUCCUUUUAUUGAUUCAUGUGAAAAUGUGCUUUUCUCUGUGAAAUUUAAAAUAUCUGUGGUAUUCUUGAUAUUUCAAAAAAAUCUCACUCCUUAUAUGAUAUGAUUUGGCUGUGUCUCCACCCAAAUCGCACCUUGAAUUGUAACAAUCCCCACCUGUUGAAGGUAGGGCCAGGUGGAAGUUGUUGAAUCAUGGGAGGGGCUGGUGGGCAGGCGGUUCCUCCAUACAGUUCUGGUGGUGAAUAAGUCUCACGAGAUCUGAUGGUUCUAUAAACGGGAGUUCGCCUGCAAACGCUCUCUUGCCUGCUGCCGUGUAAGAUGGGUCUUGCUUCUCCUUCAUCUUCCACCAUGAGUGUGAGGCCUUCCAAGCCAUCUGGAACUGAAAAUGAGAGGAGGAACUAUGAGUGAAGAAAUAAAUGCUUUGAAGCUGUAAACUUCCAAACCAAAAGCAUGAUGCAAAAUACUUCAGAGACAAAGACUUCAUCUUCUCAUCAGAGUGUGAUAUUUAAGAAUGUGGGCUCUGCCAACAGACUACCUGAUUUGAAUCCUGGCUUCACCAUUUUUUAGCUGUGUGCCCCUGGGCAAGGUGAUUAACUUCUCUAUGUUUCAGUUUCUUUGUUGGUAGAAUGGGAAUAAUAUUUGCUUUAGCUUAUAAGUGUUGUUCAGCUUCUAUGACAUAAUAUUCACAAAGGGCUUAACACAGUCUCUGUAAUGUGGUAAGCAUUUUAAUAAAGACAUGCUGUCAUUAUUAUUGUAUCACAACGCUAUAGAACUUGUUAUUAUAACAAUGGUAGGUGCCAAUGUGAAUGAAUGAGGGAAAGAGUGAAUGGGAAUCACCUCCAAUCCUAUAGUAUUUUAGUAGCUGAUGGAGCACACCCACCUGACCCUCUAAACUUGGUUCUCCCUGAAGGUGUUUUCCUGCUCAUUGAUGGAGCAAUAAUGAGCAC